UGUUUGUAGGACCGUAGUCGGAGCUUCCUAGCCCCCUUCUCAUCUCUUUCUGUGGUUAGUGUUCUGAUGUCCCGAUAUAGAUAAUCUUGAAGUAAAUCUUGAUUCUUAGAUCAACUAGAGAACUCUCAGGAAACUUCCUCUCUUCCCACCAAAAAUAAUUAUAUAGUUAUCCUUGGGCGAUCUUGGAUCUUAAUUAGUACACUCACGUUCUCUGUGGAAAAUCGAUACUCUGGAAUACUCCCGGGUGAAAGCUACAUCGGUAUCCGUGCGCUUGCGGAUUUUUCUGUUUGCGUUUAAAAUACCCAACAGGGAGUUUAAAUUAAGCAUGAUGCUUAGGUUAAAAUGCCCUCCUAAAUCAAAUUAGACAUGGUGUCUAGGUUGAUCUUUGAGCCGAUAGUAUGCUAUUGUAGAUAUUGGAUAUUUUGUUGGACUAACCCCUGC
rnacentral:lncRNA from 1 species